rnacentral:lncRNA from 1 species
UAGCGUUUGCGAAUUCCACGAACAGUAGUUAACCUCUUAGCCAUUAUAAUGUCAUCUUUUUGAAAGACGAUGAAGAAUCUAUUAAUUCUCGCACUGUAAGUGCUGCUAUUUUGGCUCCGUGAAUGGAAUUGAUAGGGUUGAUAGCACGGUAGCGAACUCCCCGAACACAUGCUUUGAUAGUGCAUCAAGGACAAAGUUUCCAUCUAUUGACUUACGAAAAAUUUAGAAAUCAUAUCUUUUAUCAGCUAUGAGUAAAAUCGACCACGCUCUUACUUGACAGAGAAUCGCAGCGGCCGAAGGAUGCAAUCUGGUGUCCUGCUGAAGAUGUAGAGGAUGCGUCUGAAUUCUCCACAUUACGCAUCGAAUCUGAUAUUUUCGCCUAAUCCUAUGCCAUAUAAACGGCGCCUUCGGAAACCGAUAAACGACACGUCCAUCAUCUCCGGAAGGCUUACAGAGGGUUACACAUGAGCGAGCGUAGCACAAAUAACUUCAUUGCGAAUCAGCUGUGUCUCGUGAAAAAUGAUGGAUACAAAUCAGAAAAUAUUAAUUGAAAUCCAUUUCGUUGGCUUCAAUAAAUGUGCUAUGUAUCUCGAAUAAAUACACUCACCCGCACAAAAACAAAUAACGUCAAUUGUCGAUGAAAGAUCAGCGUAUUUGGAAUAAAACUCUACCAGUCAGUGGACAGAGAGCAACUGAGCGACCUUUGCCCCUGGUUAUUUCAGCCCUUCACACCCCCACUCUUGGGCUUGAUCGCGCUUCUGCAAAAUCUUGAAUAUAUUGUAUUGUUUUAUCUGACGUUUAUGGAGAAGUAAAACAUAGAAUAUCCAUUGCUUAGCUUUCUUUAUUCGAUUCAAGAUAUUAAAGAAGAUUUAAAAUCUUUUUGUGCAUUUCUAAGGAAAAAAAGGCUCUAGUAAAACUCUCGAUUAUAUUGAUUUUAUAGAUGUCGAUACUUAUAAUUAUGUUAUAUUAAUUUUAA